rnacentral:tRNA from 1 species
UUUACUUUAGCAUAUAUAAUUGUAAUAAAUUUAGAAUUUAUUGAAAUAAAUUUUAUUUAUAAGUAAAA